rnacentral:misc_RNA from 1 species
GAUGAAGAACGCAGCGAAAUGCGAUAAGUAAUGUGAAUUGCAGAAUUCAGUGAAUCAUCGAAUCUUUGAACGCACAUUGCGCCCGCCAGUAUUCUGGCGGGCAUGCCUGUUCGAGCGUCAUUUCAACCCUCAGGCCCCCAGUGCCUGGUGUUGAGGAUCGGCAGCAGGGCGUCAAGCCCGCCGGCCCCGAAAUCUAGUGGCGGUCUCGCUGUAGUCCUCCUCUGCGUAGUAGCACAACCUCGCAGUUGGAACGCGGCGGUGGCCAUGCCGUUAAACACCCCACUUCUGAAAGUUGACCUCGGAUCAGGUAGGAAUACCCGCUGAACUUAAGCAUAUCAAUAAGCGGAGGA